GGUCUUGAGGCUGAGCUGCUAAGCGUUAUUCCCUACUCAUCAAGGGCAUGGUGUGACUGUACAAAUUAUCUGAGGAAUUAAUAAAAGAUCAGUUAAAUGUUCAAAAACCAAAACCUUCUGGAUGUGGGUUCCAGGUACCAGUGCGGUUUAAAAGUUGCUCAGGUGAUUCUUUUAAGCAGCCUUCGUGGGAACCACAGGUGUUGAUGCACAAAAACGUGCUGGUUAGCUUAGACUCGAGGGGGGAGGGAAAUCUGAAGUGUAGUUUGAACCUACACUGCGAAUUGGAUGGAAAGUUGGCCGAGACCUGUCCUUCCCAUGAACUUUACUUUUUUUGCCUUGUGAGCCAAAAAGCCUGAUAAAUACCUUUCAAAGUCAAACCUGAACAACUCAGAGCUCUUCUUUGGGGGUGGGGGCGCACAGGAAUGGCAGCCAUAGCCCCAGUGCUGGAAAUCUUGGAAACUGGGUAGCCGCCACCACCACCAAGCACAAACUAGGGGGUUAGGUAAGUGGAAGGGGUUAUAACAGUGGCCUGGGCUUAACCAAAGACUGUAUAGGGGCCUGAUCUCCUGAAACUCUUUUCUAGGGGCUGAUGGCCCAAUUUCACCCACCUUUUUUCCAUACCUGUUUUUGGAGAGUUAAUUAUCAGUGUGUGUGUGACCACCUCUUCAGCUCCUUCCACUUACCAGGUGGA